GACGAACGCUGGCGGCGUGCCUAAUACAUGCAAGUCGAGCGAGCGAAACUAACAGAUUUACUUCGGUAAUGACGUUAGGAAAGCGAGCGGCGGAUGGGUGAGUAACACGUGGGGAACCUGCCCCAUAGUCUGGGAUACCACUUGGAAACAGGUGCUAAUACCGGAUAAGAAAGCAGAUCGCAUGAUCAGCUUUUAAAAGGCGGCGUAAGCUGUCGCUAUGGGAUGGCCCCGCGGUGCAUUAGCUAGUUGGUAGGGUAAAGGCUUACCAAGGCGAUGAUGCAUAGCCGAGUUGAGAGACUGAUCGGCCACAUUGGGACUGAGACACGGCCCAAACUCCUACGGGAGGCAGCAGUAGGGAAUCUUCCACAAUGGACGCAAGUCUGAUGGAGCAACGCCGCGUGAGUGAAGAAGGUUUUCGGAUCGUAAAGCUCUGUUGUUGGUGAAGAAGGAUAGAGGUAGUAACUGGCCUUUAUUUGACGGUAAUCAACCAGAAAGUCACGGCUAACUACGUGCCAGCAGCCGCGGUAAUACGUAGGUGGCAAGCGUUGUCCGGAUUUAUUGGGCGUAAAGCGAGCGCAGGCGGAAGAAUAAGUCUGAUGUGAAAGCCCUCGGCUUAACCGAGGAACUGCAUCGGAAACUGUUUUUCUUGAGUGCAGAAGAGGAGAGUGGAACUCCAUGU
rnacentral:rRNA from 1 species